CCUACGGGUGGCUGCAGUGAGGAAUAUUGGUCAAUGGACGCAAGUCUGAACCAGCCAUGCCGCGUGAAGGAAGAAGGCUCUAUGAGUUGUAAACUGCUUUUGUACGAGGGUAAAUCCCGAUACGUGUAUCGGGUUGCAAGUAUCGUACGAAUAAGGAUCGGCUAACUCCGUGCCAGCAGCCGCGGUAAUACGGAGGAUUCAAGCGUUAUCCGGAUUUAUUGGGUUUAAAGGGUGCGUAGGUGGUUUGAUAAGUCAGAGGUGAAAUCCCGGGGCUAAACCCCGGAAUUGCCUCUGAUACUGUCAGGCUAGAGUGUAGUUGCGGUAGGCGGAAUGUAUGGUGUAGCGGUGAAAUGCAUAGAUAUCAUACAGAACACCGAUUGCGAAGGCAGCUUACCAAACUACGACUGACAUUGAGGCACGAAAGCGUGGGGAGCAAACAGGAUUAGAUACCCCAGUAGUC
rnacentral:rRNA from 1 species